UUAAUUCGUUACUAUGUAUUAACAUUUAACUUACAAUUUUAUAGUUAUACCUACUUAUCUAAGUAAGAAAUAAGAAUAUCUACUUGAACAAAGUUAUUGAAUCCGUUUAAGAAAGGCAAGAAAAAAUCAUCUCCCUAUUUCAUAAGUAGGUGCUCAGUGUUUACUUUUUUUGUCAUAAACGUAUGUACUUAUUUAAUAAAGAAAAUAGGAUAUUUCAUGGGUAUUGAAAUACACCAUAAUAUUAACUACGUAAUAUUAGUCAUAAAAUCAAUCAAUUGUACAACCAACUCAUAUAAUACACUGGCAUGUAUUGUUUAGUUCUUAGUUAAACAACUAGCAAUGUUUUAUAUCGUAUAUUUAGAAAAAUUAUUUUAUUAAGAUAACAAUUUUCAGUGGAGCCGAAUUCUGCCUUAGCUUUGAAAUUAAAUUACUUAAAUAGUUUAUUGGACACUUGAAUCAUAGUAUUAUGAUAAUUGUUAGUUUGUGGGUCAAAAAGGUCCACACAAUUAAUCAAUAUAUUUAAAAGUACCAAACGUUUUUUGGGUUAGAUAGUAACAACUUAAUUUUCAAAUUAAUUUGAAUACUAAGAUUUUGAGAAGAAUCCAAGAAAAAAACAAUAAAUGGUACAUAUAGUAAUGCAUAGAAGACAAGUAUUAUAAAUUAUUUUUUCAUUUUAUUAAACUAAUGUCAGUAGUCUUGUUAUUUAAAUUAUUACUUACUUAGAAGAAAUUCAAAAUGUAAUAUUUUGAAAUGUAUAGGUUCAAAGUUCGGUGCCACUGAUUUGAUAUACACGUGACUAUAAAUGAUUAUAAAUGUUUGUUUUUUUAAAUUUGUUUUAGAUAUAUUCUCAUCAAUGUUUAUCACGACUGGGGUAAAAUAAUUGUUCUAUGAAAGUCUAUAUUCAUGAUAAGUGGACAAAUAUUUAUGAUAAAAAAAAAUACAUGCGGAAUACUCAUUAGUUUGAUCCGAUAAACCACCAAUGUGUCUAAAAGUUAGAAAAUUGACGCAGCUUAUCAAGUUUUUUGUGACUAAAAAAAUCCUACGCUCCGUGAGGAUUGCACACGUAAUUAAACGUUUCCUGCAGACCUCGUCAAAAUUGAUGCUAGAAACAUAUAUUGCUUUUAGUAAACGUAUACGUAAAAUUGACUCUCAGCAAAACCUUAGAAGUAGAGAGCCAAAGCGGAGAAUGUUCUUGGAUGAAUAAUCACGAAUGUGUCAUCUUAUAAACACCACUUUAUAUUGUAUAUAGAGAGGUACAGUUUGACUCGGCUUUUAUUGGUGACAAACUUCUGGAUGUAUAUGUUUCGAAUAUGCUGAAAUUACCUAUUUUGUACAGGUCUCGUUCAAGUGAUGUUUGUUUUAAUUUUAUUUAAAAAAUAAAUACAAAUUUAAAAUA